GAUGAACGCUGGCGGCGUGCCUAAUACAUGCAAGUCGAGCGAACAGAUGAGGAGCUUGCUCCUCUGACGUUAGCGGCGGACGGGUGAGUAACACGUGGAUAACCUACCUAUAAGACUGGGAUAACUUCGGGAAACCGGAGCUAAUACCGGAUAAUAUAUUGAACCGCAUGGUUCAAUAGUGAAAGACGGUUUUGCUGUCACUUAUAGAUGGAUCCGCGCCGCAUUAGCUAGUUGGUAAGGUAACGGCUUACCAAGGCAACGAUGCGUAGCCGACCUGAGAGGGGGAUCGGCCACAAGGGAACUGAGAAACGGCCCAGACCCCUACGGGAGGCAGAAGUAGGGAAUCUUCCGGAAUGGGCGAAAGCCUGACGGGGAAACGCCGCGGGGGGGAUGAAGGGUUGCGGAGUGUAAAACUCUGUUAUUAGGGAAGAAAAAAUGUGUAAGUAACUAUGCACGUUUUGACGGUACCUAAUCAAAAAGCCACGGCUAACUACGU
rnacentral:rRNA from 1 species